rnacentral:rRNA from 1 species
UACGAAGGGUGCAAGCGUUAAUCGGAAUUACUGGGCGUAAAGCGCACGUAGGCGGUCUUUUAAGUCGGUGGUGAAAUCCUGGAGCUCAACUCCAGAACUGCCUUCGAUACUGGAAGACUUGAGUCCGGGAGAGGUGAGUGGAACUGCGAGUGUAGAGGUGAAAUUCGUAGAUAUUCGCAAGAACACCAGUGGCGAAGGCGGCUCACUGGCCCGGUACUGACGCUGAGGUGCGAAAGCGUGGGGAGCAAACAGG